rnacentral:misc_RNA from 1 species
AAAUAUUGUAGUUAAUUAGUUAUAUCAUUAGCUAUAUAUUGUUUGUUUUUCAUUUAAUCAAUAAUCGUGUAAAUCGUGAAACCGUGAUAUUUCCUCUGGCUCUGCGCCAAAAUUUCAUAUCGUGACAUCCAUAGUAUGUAGAGACUGUAUUUAACAGAAUUGAAGAAACUGUAUUUAAAUGUACUGGUGGUUAAAUCAAUGAUUUGUUGGUCUGGUUCAUCAACAUUUAAUUCAAAGUGAGUGUGGGACUGUGUUUUUAACUGUUAUAUGUUUGUUCGUGUCUUUCAGGUGCCAGACCACGAGAAAUUGUUUGAGGACCUCCUUGAGGAAAAGCAGAAUUUGGAUUCUAAGAAUAUGCAUCUGGCUCAUGAAAAUGCCAGUCUGAAGAUCGCCAUGUCCUGCAAAGAAGCUUCAUGGAAAAAGGAAAAGGAGAGCAUGCAGAAUGCAGAUUAUGAAAAACUCAAGGAAGAACUACAGCUCGACCUUAAGGAUGCCAAGAAAGAGUUGAGGCUCCAAGAGAAGGACUACAGGUCCUUGAGUACUCGUUGUCAAAGCCAGCAGGCAGAGAUCCACAAGAUCAGACGUGACCUAAAGCAAAGGUGCAACCACGUCAAUGAGCUGGAGUACUCCAUUAAACAGAGGGAACAGGUGAUCGACAGGACAGUGCAUGAGAAAAUGGCACUGGAAGAGGAAAUCAAUGAGCUCACAACCAAGCUCAAAGCUAUGGGGACAAAAGUUCUCCAGAACGAGCCUGACUGGCAGUCAGAAAUCAACGCUCUGAAGCACGAGCUCAGCCGUGAGCAGGCAGAGAAGGAGGCUGGCUCCAGUAGAAUCAAGGAGCUGGAGAGACAGCUCAAGGUCACAGAAGAGAAGUGGGUGACCAAACAUGAGGCCAGAAUUGUCCAAACGGAUCAGCUGAUCAACAGUCUCACCAGUCAAAAUAAGGCACUGGAAGCCAGCAACAAGAAACUCCUGUCCAUGCAGCAAGCCAUGGAGGCAAGGAUCCUCCAGAACAAGACUGAGUGGGAGACGAAAGUUAACACUCUGGAGGACCAUGUCAGUAGUGAGCAGGCUGAGAAGGAGGCUGGCUUCACAAAAAUCAAGGAGCUGGAGAAACUGGUCAGCAAUACUGAGCAGAUGUGGGCGGCCAAGCAUGAGGCAGACAUAAAGCUGCUCAUUCUGAAACAGAUCAAGCUUCAGGUAAGUCACAUCAGCUCUGUUUGAUCUGAAUAAGAACUUGUUGCACUUUAAGUUUGUUUCUUAUUCAGACUUUUGAAAGAGAAAAUAUCUAAACACUUGUCGUCUCUGUCUUUUCAGGAACUGGCCUUGAUGACUGAUAAGGACAAGGCAAGGAUUCAAAAGGAGCAAAAGAAAGCAAAGAAAGAGGCAGAGAAGAGGCAAAAGAAGGAGCUGCAAGAGAAGAAGAGGCAGGAGCAGAGAGACAAACUAGACAGAGAGAAGGAGGAGAAGCGGCAAAGGAAAUGAAGAAAAUAUUUACAUUUAGGGCAUUUAGCAGAUGCUUUUGUCCAAAGCAACUUACAAUAAGUACAUUUGUCACAAGAGAGAAACCAUUCUUAAAAAAAUAAAGACAUUUGAAAUUGAAUCAAUCAUCUCUUGUUUCUUCCUCAAUACACCCUGGUGUUCAUUUUGUAAGUCAUGGUUCCAUAUAGAGUCAAAUAUAUGAUGUGUAUAUGAUGUGAUUGAAAGCUAGUAAUGUCCAAUGGGUGCAGGUCGAGGAGGGCAUGCAGUGUCCUCGAGCUCUCAGUCAGGCUCCACCCCUCGCUCCUACUAAUGUGGUCACUUCUGAUUUUAAAAAACAAGAUGUAUUUUCAGACUUUCAUUCUUCACAUUUUAGAUUCACAUCUAAAAAGAAAUGAUUGUAGGGCUCAUAUCAUGGAAAACUGUUUGUUUAAUAUCACAUUUAACUGACAGUGUCUGUGAUGUCCCAUGUGACAGUGUCUGUGAUGUCCCAUG